UACGUAGGGGGCAAGCGUUGUCCGGAAUCAUUGGGCGUAAAGAGCUCGUAGGCGGCUUGGCAAGUCGGGUGUGAAACCUCCAGCUCAACCUGGAGACGCCACUCGAUACUGCCAUGGCUAGAGUCCGGUAGGGGACCACGGAAUUCCUGGUGUAGCGGUGAAAUGCGCAGAUAUCAGGAGGAACAGCCGGUGGCGAAGGCGGUGGUCUGGGCCGGCACUGACGCUGAGGAGCGAAAGCGUGGGUAGCAAACAGG
rnacentral:rRNA from 1 species